rnacentral:rRNA from 1 species
UAGGGAAUCUUCCACAAUGGACGCAAGUCUGAUGGAGCAACGCCGCGUGAGUGAAGAAGGUUUUCGGAUCGUAAAGCUCUGUUGUUGGUGAAGAAGGAUAGAGGUAGUAACUGGCCUUUAUUUGACGGUAAUCAACCAGAAAGUCACGGCUAACUACGUGCCAGCAGCCGCGGUAAUACGUAGGUGGCAAGCGUUGUCCGGAUUUAUUGGGCGUAAAGCGAGCGCAGGCGGAAGAAUAAGUCUGAUGUGAAAGCCCUCGGCUUAACCGAGGAACUGCAUCGGGAACUGUUUUUCUUGAGUGCAGAAGAGGAGAGUGGAAUUCCAUGUGUAGCGGUGGAAUGCGUAGAUAUAUGGAAGAACACCAGUGGCGAAGGCGACUCUCUGGUCUGCAACUGACGCUGAGGCUCGAAAGCAUGGGUAGCGAACAGG